rnacentral:rRNA from 1 species
AGAUUGAACGCUGGCGGUAGGCCUAACACAUGCAAGUCGAGCGCGAAAGUGCCUUCGGGUGCGAGUAGAGCGGCGGACGGGUGCGUAACGCGUGGGAAUCUGCCUGGUAGUGGGGGAUAACUCGGGGAAACUCGAGCUAAUACCGCAUACGCCCCAUGGGGGAAAGCGGGGGACCUUCGGGCCUCGCGCUAUCAGAUGAGCCUGCGUCGGAUUAGCUAGUUGGUAGGUAAAGCCUACCAAGGCAUCGAUCAGUAGCUGGUCUGAGAGGACGACCAGCCACACUGGGACUGAGACACGGCCCAGACUCCUACGGGAGGCAGCAGUGGGGAAUUUUGGACAAUGGGGGCAACCCUGAUCCAGUAAUGCCGCGUGAGUGAAGAAGGCCU